GAAAUGCGAUAAGUAGUGUGAAUUGCAGAAUUCAGUGAAUCAUCGAAUCUUUGAACGCACAUUGCGCCCCUUGGUAUUCCAUGGGGCAUGCCUGUUCGAGCGUCAUUUGUACCCUCAAGCUCUGCUUGGUGUUGGGUGUUUGUCCCCGUCUCCGCGCGUGGACUCGCCCCAAAGUGAUUGGCAGCCGGCGUACUGGUCCCGGAGCGCAGCACAUGUCGCGCAAACGAGUGCCUCUGUACGGCGGCGUCCAUAAGCCCCUCUCUCACGCUCUUGACCUCGGAUCAGGUAGGGAUACCCGCUGAACUUAAGC
rnacentral:misc_RNA from 1 species